GGUUUUCAUCGUCACUAUCAAGGAGUUGGCUGCUCAUCUAACUGUUGAUUCUUUGGAGGGCCGAGGCUUAUUCGAUUAAAGGAUGAAGCUCUCCUGAAGC